rnacentral:rRNA from 1 species
GACGGAGGAUGCAAGCGUUAUCCGGAAUGAUUGGGCGUAAAGCGUCCGCAGGUGGCAGCUCAAGUCUGCUGUCAAAGCCCACGGCUUAACUGUGGAAAGGCAGUGGAAACUGAGUAGCUAGAGUGCGGUAGGGGCAGAGGGAAUUCCCAGUGUAGCGGUGAAAUGCGUAGAGAUUGGGAAGAACACCGGUGGCGAAAGCGCUCUGCUAGACCGUAACUGACACUCACAGGACGAAAGCCAGGGGAGCGAACGGG